AUGAAGCAGGUCAUCUUCUGGUAGGUAAGUACUUUGUUAUUUGAUUUUAUGCUGGGAGAAUGGUAUCUACUUCCUGAUGAAAUAUAAAUUGAUUUUUUUUUUAUAAAUAAAGAUCCUUUGGAACCUUAGUGCACAAUCUGCAAGAAGGCAGAGAAUUUUGAUGUCAAAUGUGGAAAACUAUUUCUGCACAUUCAUUGCUCACCUCUUUUCUGUUUUAACUUACGUGAGGUGAUUCAACAAUGGAUGACCAUUUCAACAGUAGUGAAUUUCUUGUCUGGUACUAGCCUAUGUAACUAAUUGUCAAAUUCAUUUUGCAGCUUACCUUAUGGGUUGCCCAAU
rnacentral:misc_RNA from 1 species